GACGAACGCUGGCGGCGUGCCUAAUACAUGCAAGUAGAACGCUGAAGGAGGAGCUUGCUCUUCUUGGAUGAGUUGCGAACGGGUGAGUAACGCGUAGGUAACCUGCCUGGUAGCGGGGGAUAACUAUUGGAAACGAUAGCUAAUACCGCAUAAUAGUAGAUGUUGCAUGACAUUUGCUUAAAAGGUGCAAUUGCAUCACUACCAGAUGGACCUGCGUUGUAUUAGCUAGUUGGUGAGGUAACGGCUCACCAAGGCAACGAUACAUAGCCGACCUGAGAGGGUGAUCGGCCACACUGGGACUGAGACACGGCCCAGACUCCUACGGGAGGCAGCAGUAGGGAAUCUUCGGCAAUGGACGGAAGUCUGACCGAGCAACGCCGCGUGAGUGAAGAAGGUUUUCGGAUCGUAAAGCUCUGUUGUAAGAGAAGAACGAGUGUGAGAGUGGAAAGUUCACACUGUGACGGUAUCUUACCAGAAAGGGACGGCUAACUACGUGC
rnacentral:rRNA from 2 species